AAAAAGAUAUAAUUGUAGAAUGCUUCUAAUUAUUUUAUUAUAUUUCUAGUCAAUUAAUAGAUAUUAAAAUUCAUAGAUGCUAUUAUCACAUAACGGUGAAAUAAUGGAACUAAAUUAUUGCUUUCCUCGUCACAUAUUAUUUACAUGAUAGUUUAAAUUCUUGUCGUGGCGCUGCAGUCCUUUUUUACCGACCGGGCCAACGGCAACAAAACGGCGGCAAAAAUAAAAGAAGAAAAGAAAAUGGAUUCGUUA